rnacentral:tRNA from 1 species
UCCCCGAUAGCUCAGUCGGUAGAGCAAAUGACUGUUAAUCAUUAGGUCACUGGUUCGAGUCCAGUUCGGGGAGCCA